AUAAAACCUGAACCAUAUGCCCCCCUCACCCCCACCCAAAAAACAAUGUUGACGUUGCUGUGUGAGGUGAUGACUUGGCGCAUUACAAUUUGCAACAGUGUGCCAUUUCUCAGUAGCACUAUUUUCAAGAUUCAGAUCAGCUUGUGACAAACAUCCAUCACACCAUUACGGUGCCGUUUGGUUCAGCUUCUUGCCGGAUUCUGGCCGCCAGAAGCCGAAGCGUCUCCCAAACGCCUAAAUUCUCGACCCGCUUUUGCGCGCCGCGCUUCGACGAGAAGCCAGCCACCUACGCGACGCCAGAAGCGGCCCUCACGCCGCGUCCGCAGAAAGCCGCCCUCAUUUCGCUAGGGUUCGCAACCCGCGUCCCUCACGACGCUCUCGUCCCCGUCGCAUCUCGCCGCCGCAGCUCUCCUCCCCAUCGCAUCUCCCGCCCCAGCGCUCGUCGUUGGCCGAAAGCCGGCCCCAUUCGCGACGCCCGCGGCGCUCGUCUCGUCCCCCAUCGCAUCUCUCGCCGCCGCGCUCGUCGUCUUCGCAGGUAAGCUCCUCUCAUCCAUGGCGACCCUCUCUUCUUUCUCCUCCGCCGCGGAGGUCGUUUCGAUGGCUCCGUGACCCUUCAGUUCUCUAGGGGUUUGACCGCGGAUCGUCAAGCUGCAACUCGUCCCAACAUCGCAUCUCGUCGUCUUCGCAGGUACUUCCUCUCCUCCAUCCCGCCCCUCUCACAAUCUCCUCUGCCGACGCCCUCGUUUGGAUAUCUCUCGUCUCUAUCUGUUACGGAUCCGUUCGUCCCCCAUGUAAUGAUUAGGGUUUAGGUUGCAUCCACGUCCGUGGUUAAGUAUCCCCCCUGUAUUGUGUAGUAGCAAGUGUUAUUUCAAGUAUGCAGAGAUGCAGUUUAAGCUUUUUGGUCUCGGUUUAGGAGAAACCAUUGAAGUGUGUUUUGCACUAUUAUUUGUUUCUUUGUUAAUUGAAGCAUAGUUUUGUUUGUUAGCAGCCGAGGUAGUAAUUCGUUUCAAUUACUGGAUUUAAGUACAUUGUCCCCAUGUCCAGUUUAUUCACUACAUACUUUUGUUUCGAGCGACGUACUAACGAUUUUGUUGUGUAAUGUACACUUCAGAUUUUCCCAUCAACUCGGGUUCUUCCUGUUCGGUUCCAAGAUCCACUGCAGGCAAGGUAAUGUCAAUAUCUAUUUGUUGGUUAAAUAACUGUGAGCAUAGAUGAGGUGUUACCAAAUUUUCUUCUCGGUGAAAGGGAUACCAUUGAUGUGUUUUAUCCCUAAUUUUUUAUCUGGGUUUAUUUCAAAGUUUGUCUAUGUCAGUACCUGAAUGUUAGUUGCUAGCACCUCAGUUUGUCCAUGUUACCACGCAAUUCAUGUCAAAACAUGGAAGUUAGUAGAUAGUCCCCUUGUCUAGUACACUAACCAACUAAAUCCACAUCAGAUGGAUUCAGCAGACUCCAUAGCCGACAAGGCAAUUGGAUGGAUGCAAGAGAUUGCGGACAAGAUAUUUUCCGUAGCCCGGGAAACAAUCCGUCCGGGACGCGGGUUGACCUCAUUUGACGCAACCAAACUUCGUGUAGCAUUGGAGGACAUAGCUUGCAUGCUUGAGCAAGACUCUCUGGUGUUGCAAGAGAAUUUGGACAACGUGAACAACGUUAUCAACCCGGGUGACACCUGCUACGAACCGUCAGCCUUGUCCUCACCAGCCCCAGCUGACGACUACAUUACUCCAUAUUGGGACUUUGCAGAGCACUUUGAAAACUUCUGGGGUCUAGAAUAUGACUCGGACCAGAUGCCUUCGUUUAGUGACAAUGAGGUUUAACUUAGACCAUGGUGAACAUUUGAAGAAGAUGGUAGUUUAACAGGGAUAGAUCAGCCUUUUGCUUAAUGAGCAGUUAUAUAGUGUUCCCUGUGCUUUUGUGUCCAGCAGCACUUCGAUUUCUUCAGUCUAUAUAUGUAAUUAUGACAAACUUAAUCUGACUCCUUAUGAUACUACCUUAUGUUAUUAUGGUCCCUUACUUGUUCAUUUUGUUUUCUUAGUAAGUGCACUUCAAUACGUAUUUUCAAUCGUCUACACUUGUUUUGCACUAGAUGGACAAGUCUGGCAAAGUGAUUGCAAAGUGGGAUAGUAGAGCAACAAAAAUUUACACAGAAAUUUGUGUAGAAGAGGUCAAUGCACGGAACAAGCCACAACAAUUUCUAAAUGCCGAAGGGUAUGCUAACUGAUAGUCGCCUAGAGGGGGGUGAAUAGGGCGAAACUGAAAUUUACAAAUAUAAACACAACUACAAGCCGGGUUAGCGUUAGAAAUAUAAACGAGUCCGCGAGAGAGGGCGCAAAACAAAUCCCAAGCGAAUAAGCAAGUGAGACACGGAGAUUUGUUUUACCGAGGUUCGGUUCUUGCAAACCUACUCCCCGUUGAGGAGGCCACAAAGGCCGGGUCUCUUUCAACCCUUCCCUCUCUCAAACGGUCCCUCGGACCGAGUGAGCUUCUUUUCUCAAAUCAAAGCCGGGAACAAAACUUCCUCGCAAGGGCCACCACACAAUUGGUGCCUCUUGCCUUGAUUACAAUGGAGAUGUGAUCUCAAGAACAAGUGAGAAAGAAAAAGAAGCAAUCCAAGCGCAAGAGCUCAAAAGAAACACGGCAAAUCUCUCUCUCUAAUCACUAAAGCCUUUCGUGGAAUUGGAGAGGAUUUGAUCUCUUUUGGUGUGUCUAGAAUUGAAUGCUAGAGCUCUUGUAGUGGUUGAGAAGUGGAAAACUUGGAUGCAAUGAAUGGUGGGGUGGUUGGGGUAUUUAUAGCCCCAACCACCAAAUGUGGCCGUUGGGAGGCUGUCUGUUCGAUGGCGCACCGGACAGUCCGGUGCACACCGGACAGUCCGGUGCCCCCUGCCACGUCAUCACUGCCGUUGGAUUCUGACCGUUGGAGCUUCUGACUUGUGGGCCCGCCUGGGUGUCCGGUGCACACCGGACAGGUACUGUUUGAUGUCCGGUGUGCCAGCAUGGGCGAUUCUGACUUCUGCGCGCGCAGAGCGCGCAUUAAAUGCGCGGCAGAGAGCCGUUGGCGCGGAGACGACCGUUGCUUCGCAGUCGCACCGGACAGUCCGGUGCACACCGGACAGUCCGGUGAAUUAUAGCGGACUAGCCGUUGGCGUUUCCCGAAGCUGGCGAGUUCCUGAGGUCGACCUCUCUUGGCGCACCGGACACUGUCCGGUGUACACCGGACAGUCCGGUGAAUUAUAGCCGAGUCGCCCUGGAAAUUCCCGAAGGUGGCGAGUUUGAGUCUGAGUCCCCUGGUGCACCGGACAGGUACUGUUCACUGUCCGGUGGCACACCGGACAGUCCGGUGCGCCAGACCAGGGGUGCCUUCGGUUGCCCCUUUGCUCCUUUGUUGAAUCCAAAACUUGGUCUUUUUAUUGGCUGAGUGUGAACCUUUUACACCUGUAUAAUCUACACACUUGGGCAAACUAGUUAGUCCAAUUAUUUGUGUUGGGCAAUUCAACCACCAAAAUUAUUUGGGAACUAGGUGUAAGCCUAAUUCCCUUUCAAUCUCCCCCUUUUUGGUGAUUGAUGCCAACACAAACCAAAGCAAAUAUAGAAGUGCACAAUUGAACUAGUUUGCAUAAUGUAAGUGUAAAGGUUGCUUGGAAUUGAGCCAAUAAAACUACUUACAAGAUAUGCAUGGAAUGUUUCUUUCUAUAUUUAGCAUUUUGGACCACGUUUGCACCACAUGCUUUGUUUUUGCAAAUCCUUUUGUAAAUCCAUUUCAAAGAUCUUUUGCAAAUAGUCAAAGGUAAAUGAAUAAGAGUUUGCAAAGCAUUUUCAAGAUUUGAAAUUUUCUCCCCUCGUUUCAAAUGCUUUUCCUUUGACUUAACAAAACUCCCCCUAAAUGAGAUACUCCUCUUAGUGUUCAAGAGGGUUUUGAUAUACCAUUUUUGAAAUACUACUUUCUCCCCCUUUUGAACAUAAUAGGAUACCAUUUGAUAAAUACUCUUGGAAAGCAACUAGUGUUUUUUUUUAAUUGGUAAAUUUCAAAUUGGUGGUGGUGCGGUCCUUUUGCUUUGGGCUCAUUUCUCCCCCUUUUUGGCAUGAAUCGCCAAAAACGGAAUCAUUAGAGCCCUCAUACUAUCUUCCCCUUUGGUCAUAAGUAAACGAGUUAAGAUUAUACCAAAGACGAAGUCUUUUUGCUUUGAAGUCUCAUUUCUCCCCAAAGAAUAGAGAGAAGCUUGGAGUGAUGGCGAAGUAUGAGUUACGAAGUGGAAGCCUUUGUCUUCGCCGAAGACUCCAAUUCCCUUUCAAUAUACCUAUGACUUGGUUUGAAAUAGACUUGAAGACACAUUAGUCAUAGCAUAGAAAGGAGAUAUAAUCAAAGGUAUUCAAAUGAGCUAUGUGUGCAAGCUAGCAAAAGAAAUUUCUAGAAUCAAGAAUAUUGAGCUCAUGCCUAAGUCUGGUAAAAGAUUGUUCAUCAAGAGGCUUGGUAAAGAUAUCGGCUAAUUGAUCUUUAGUGUUAAUGUAAGAAAUCUCGAUAUCUCCCUUUUGUUGGUGAUCCCUAAGAAAAUGAUACCGAAUGGCUAUGUGCUUAGUGCGGCUAUGCUCGACGGGGUUGUCGGCCAUUUUGAUUGCACUCUCAUUAUCACAUAGUAAAGGAACUUUGGUUAAUUUGUAACCGUAGUCCCGCAGGGUUUGCCUCAUCCAAAGCAAUUGCGCGCAACAAUGGCCUGCGGCAAUGUACUCGGCUUCGGCGGUGGAAAGAGCGACCGAAUUUUGCUUCUUUGAAGCCCAAGACACCAAGGAUCUUCCCAAGAACUGGCAAGUCCCCGAUGUGCUCUUCCUAUUAAUCUUACACCCUGCCCAAUCGGCAUCCGAAUAACCAAUCAAAUCAAAAGUGGAUCCCCGAGGGUACCAAAGCCCAAACUUAGGAGUAUAAGCCAAAUAUCUCAAGAUUCGUUUUACGGCCGUAAGGUGGGAUUCCUUAGGGUCGGAUUGGAAUCUUGCACACAUGCAAACGGAAAGCAUAAUGUCCGGUCGAGAUGCACAUAAAUAAAGUAAUGAACCAAUCAUCGACCGGUAUACCUUUUGAUCCACGGACUUACCUCCCGUGUCGAGGUCGAGAUGCCCAUUGGUUCCCAUGGGUGUCUUGAUGGGCUUGGCAUCCUUCAUUCCAAACUUGGUUAGAAUGUCUUGAGUGUACUUCGUUUGGCAAAUGAAGGUGCCCUCUUGGAGUUGCUUGACUUGGAAUCCUAGAAAAUACUUCAACUCCCCCAUCAUCGACAUCUCGAAUUUCUGUGUCAUGAUCCUACUAAACUCUUCACAUGUGGACUCGUUAGUAGACCCAAAUAUAAUAUCAUCAACAUAAAUUUGGCAUACAAACAAGUCAUUUUCAAGAGUUUUAGUAAAGAGUGUAGGAUCGGCCUUGCCGACUUUGAAGCCAUUAGAAAUAAGGAAAUCUCUUAGGCAUUCAUACCAUGCUCUUGGGGCUUGCUUGAGCCCAUAAAGCGCCUUAGAGAGCCUAUAGACAUGAUUAGGGUACUCACUGUCUUCAAAGCCGGGAGGUUGCUCAACAUAGACCUCUUCCUUGAUUGGUCCGUUGAGGAAGGCACUUUUCACGUCCAUUUGAUAAAGCUUAAAGCCAUGGUAAGUAGCAUAGGCCAAUAAUAUGCGAAUUGACUCAAGCCUAGCUACGGGUGCAUAGGUUUCACCGAAAUCCAAACCUUCGACUUGGGAGUAUCCCUUGGCCACAAGUCGUGCUUUGUUCCUUGUCACCACACCAUGCUCAUCUUGCUUGUUGCGGAAGACCCAUUUGGUUCCUACAACAUUUUGGUUAGGACGUGGAACCAAAUGCCAUACCUCAUUCCUCGUGAAGUUGUUGAGCUCCUCUUGCAUCGCCACCACCCAAUCCGAAUCUUGAAGUGCUUCCUCUAUCCUGUGUGGCUCAAUAGAGGAAACAAAAGAGUAAUGUUCACAAAAAUGUGCAACACGAGAUCGAGUGGUUACCCCCUUAUGAAUGUCGCCGAGGAUGGUGUCGACGGGGUGAUCUCGUUGAAUUGCUUGGUGGACUCUUGGGUGUGGCGGCCUUGGUUCUUCCUCAUCCUCCUUUUCUUGAUCAAUUGCAUCUCCCCCUUGAUCAUUUCCAUCAUCUUGAGGUGGCUCAUCUUCUUGAUUUUGCCCUUCAUCAACUUGAGCCUCAUCCUCAUUUUGAGUUGGUGGAGAUGCUUGCAUGGAGGAGGAUGGUUGAUCUUGUGCACUUGGAAGCUCUUCGGAUUCCUUAGGACACACAUUCCCAAUGGACAUGUUCCUUAGCGCUAUGCAUGGAGCCUGUUCUUCACCUAUCUCAUCAAGAUCAACUUGCUCUACUUGAGAGCCGUUAGUUUCAUCAAACACAACGUCACAUGAGACUUCAACUAGUCCAGUGGACUUGUUAAAGACCCUAUAUGCCCUUGUGUUUGAGUCAUAACCAAGUAAAAAGCCUUCUACAGUUUUAGGAGCAAAUUUAGAUUUUCUACCUCUUUUAACAAGAAUAAAGCAUUUGCUACCAAAAACUCUAAAGUAUGAAAUGUUGGGCUUUUUACCGGUUAGGAGUUCAUAGGAUGUCUUCUUGAGGAUUCGGUGAAGAUAUAACCGAUUGAUGGCGUAGCAGGCGGUGUUGACUGCUUCGGCCCAAAACCGAUCCGAAGUCUUGUAUUCAUUAAGCAUGGUUCUUGCCAUGUCCAAUAGAGUUCUAUUCUUCCUCUCCACUACACCAUUUUGUUGUGGCGUGUAGGGUGAGGAGAACUCAUGCUUGAUGCCCUCCUCCUCAAGGAAACCUUCUAUUUGUGAGUUUUUGAACUCCGUCCCGUUGUCGCUUCUUAUCUUCUUGAUCCUUAAGCCAAACUCAUUUUGAGCUCGUCUCAAGAAUCCUUUUAAGGUCUCUUGGGUUUGAGAUUUUUCCUGUAAAAAGAAUACCCAAGUGAAGCGAGAAUAAUCAUCCACUAUUACAAGACAAUACUUACUCCCGCCGAUGCUUAAGUAAGCAAUCGGGCCGAAUAGAUCCAUGUGGAGUAGCUCAAGCGGCCUAUCGGUCGUCAUGAUGUUCUUGUGUGGAUGAUGGACUCCAACUUGCUUCCCCGCCUGGCAUGCGCUACAAAUCCUGUCUUUCUCAAAAUGAACAUUUGUUAAUCCUAAAAUGUGCUCUCCCUUUAGAAGCUUAUGAAGAUUCUUCAUCCCAACAUGGGCUAGUCGGCGGUGCCAGAGCCAACCCAUGUUAGUCUUAGCAAUUAAGCAUGUGUCGAGCUCAGCUCUAUCAAAAUCUACUAAGUAUAGCUGACCCUCUAACACACCCUUAAAUGCUAUUGAAUCAUCACUUCUUCUAAAGACAGUGACACCUACAUCAGUAAAAAGACAGUUGUAGCCCAUUUGACAUAAUUGUGAAACAGAAAGCAAGUUGUAAUCUAAAGAAUCUACAAGAAAAACAUUGGAAAUAGAAUGGUCAGGAGAUAUAGCAAUUUUACCCAAACCUUUGACCAAACCUUGAUUUCCAUCCCCGAAUGUGAUAGCUCGUUGGGGAUCUUGGUUUUUCUCAUAUGAGGAGAACAUCCUUUUCUCCCCGGUCAUGUGGUUUGUGCACCCGCUGUCGAGUAUCCAACUUGAGCCCCCGGAUGCAUAAACCUACAAAACAAUUUUAGUUCUUGACUUUAGGUACCCAAACGGUUUUGGGUCCUUUGGCAUUAGAUACAAGAACUUUGGGUACCCAAACACAAGUCUUGGAACCCUUGUGUUUGCCCCCAACAAACUUGGCAACUACUUUGCCGGAUUUGUUAGUAAGCACAUAAGAAGCAUCAAAAGUUUUAAAUGAAAUAGCAUGAUCAUUUGAUGCAUUAGGAGUUUUCUUUCUAGGCAACUUGACACGGGUUGGUUGCCUAGAACUAGAUGUCUCACCCUUAUACAUAAAAGCAUGAUUAGGGCCAGAGUGAGACUUCCUAGAAUGAAUUUUCCUAAUUUUGCUCUCAGGAUAGCCGGCAGGGUACAAAAUGUAGCCCUCGUUAUCCUGAGGCAUGGGAGCCUUGCCCUUAACAAAGUUAGACAAGUUCUUAGGAGGGGCAUUAAUUUUGACAUUGUCUCCCCUUUGGAAGCCAAUGCCAUCCUUAAUGCCCGGGCGUCUCCCAUUAUAAAGCAUGCUACGAGCAAAUUUAAAUUUCUCAUUUUCUAAGUUGUGCUCGGCAAUUUUAGCAUCAAGUUUAGCUAUAUGAUCAUUUUGUUGCUUAAUUAAGAUCAUGUGAUCAUGAAUAGCAUUAACAUCAAUAUCUCUACAUCUAGCACAAAUAGUGACAUGCUCAAUGGUAGAUGUAGAGGGUUUGCAAGAAUCAAGUUCCACAAUCUUAGCAUGAAGAAUAUCAUUUUUAUCUUUAAGAUUGGAAAUUGUAACUUUGCAAACAUCAAAAUCUUUAGCCUUAGCAAUUAAAUUUUCAUUCUCUAAUCUAAGGCUAGCAAGAGAUACAUUCAAUUCAUCAAUCUUAGCAAGCAAGUCAACAUUAUCAUCUCUAAGAUUGGGAAUUGAAACAUUACAAACAUGUGAAUCAACCUUAGCAUUUAAAAUAGCAUUUUCAUUUCUAAGGUUGUCAAUCAUCUCACGACAAGUGCUUAGCUCACUAGAUAAUUUUUCACAUUUCUCAAUUUCAAGAGCAUAAGCCUUUUUAACCUUAACAUGUUUUUUGUUUUCUUUAAUUAGACAAUCCUCUUGGGAAUCCAAAAGGUCAUCCUUUUCAUGAAUAGCACUAACCAAUUCAUUUAAUUUUUCCUUUUGAGCUAUGUUAAGGUUGGCAAAAAGGGAACGUAAAUUAUCUUCCUCAUCACUAGCAUUGUCAUCACUAGAGGAUUCAUAUUUAGUGGAGGACUUAGAUUUAACCUUCUUUUUGCCGUCUUUUGCCAUGAGGCACUUGUGGCCGACAUUGGGGAAGAGGAGUCCCUUGGUGACGGCGAUGUUGGCGGCGUCCUCGUCGUCGGAGGAGUCGCUUGAGCUCUCGUCGGAGUCCCACUCGCGACAAAUAUGGGCAUCGCCGCCCUUUUUCUUGUAGUACAUUUUCUUCUCCUUUCUUCUCCCCUUCUUGUCGUCGCCUCGGUCACUGUCACUAGAUAUAGGACAUUUAGCAAUAAAAUGACCGGGCUUACCACACUUGUAGCAAACCUUCUUGGAGCGGGACUUGUAAUCCUUCCCCCUCCUUUGCUUGAGGAUUUGGCGGAAGCUCUUGAUGACGAGCGCCAUUUCCUCAUUGUUGAGCUUGGAGGCGUCUAUGGGUUGGCGACUUGGUGUAGACUCCUCCUUCUUCUCCUCCGUUGCCUUGAAUGCAACGGGUUGAGCUUCGGAUGUGGUGGCAUCAUCAAGCUCGUUGAUCUUCCUCGAGCCUUCGAUCAUGCACUCAAAACUUACAAAAUUCCCGAUAACUUCCUCGGGGGUCAUUUUAGUAUAUCUAGGAUUACCACGAAUUAAUUGAACUUGAGUAGGGUUAAGGAAAAUAAGUGAUCUUAGAAUAACCUUAACCACCUCGUGGUCAUCCCACUUUACGCUCCCGAGGUUGCGUGCUUGGUUCACCAAGGUCUUGAGCCGAUUGUACAUGUGUUGUGGCUCCUCCCCUUUGCGAAGCCGGAACCGACCGAGCUCCCCCUCAAUCGUUUCCCGCUUGGUGAUCUUGGUGAGCUCAUCACCUUCAUGCGCGGUUUUGAGUAAAUCCCAAAUCUCCUUUGCGUUCUUCAACCCUUGAACUUUGUUAUACUCCUCUCUACUCAAAGAGGCUAGGAGUAUUGUUGUUGCUUGAGAGUUGAAGUGCUCGAUUUGGGCCACCUCAUCCUCAUCAUAGUUCUCAUCCCCUACGGAUGGUACCUGCGCACCAAACUCAACAACAUCCCAUAUGCUUUUGUGGAGCGAGGUUAGAUGAAAUCGCAUUAAAUCGCUCCACCUAGCGUAAUCUUCACCAUCAAAAGUUGGUGGUUUGCCUAGUGGGACGGAAAGUAAAGGAGUAUGUUUGGAAAUGCGAGGGUAGCGUAGGGGGAUCUUACUAUACUUCUUGCGCUCUUGGCGCUUAGAAGUGACGGAGGGCGCGUCGGAGUCGGAGGUUGAUGUUGAUGAAGUGUCGGUCUCGUAGUAGACCACCUUCCUCAUCCUUUUGUGCUUGUCCCCUCUCCGAUGCGGCUUGUGAGAAGAAGAUUUUUCCUUCUUCUCUUUGUGGUGAGAAGAGGAAGACUUUUUCUCCUUCCGUUUGGAGGAGUCCUUCUUCUUCUCCUUCCUCUUGGUGCGGGACUCUUCCGAUGAAGUGCUCCCGUGGCUUGUAGUGGGCUUUUCGCCGGUCUCCAUCUCCUUCUUGGCGUGAUCUCCCGACAUCACUUCGAGCGGUUAGGCUCUAAUGAAGCACCGGGCUCCGAUACCAAUUGAUAGUCGCCUAGAGGGGGGGUGAAUAGGGCGAAACUGAAAUUUACAAAUAUAAACACAACUACAAGCCGGGUUAGCGUUAGAAAUAUAAACGAGUCCGCGAGAGAGGGCGCAAAACAAAUCCCAAGCGAAUAAGCAAGUGAGACACGGAGAUUUGUUUUACCGAGGUUCGGUUCUUGCAAACCUACUCCCCGUUGAGGAGGCCACAAAGGCCGGGUCUCUUUCAACCCUUCCCUCUCUCAAACGGUCCCUCGGACCGAGUGAGCUUCUUUUCUCAAAUCAAAGCCGGGAACAAAACUUCCCCGCAAGGGCCACCACACAAUUGGUGCCUCUUGCCUUGAUUACAAUGGAGAUGUGAUCUCAAGAACAAGUGAGAAAGAAAAAGAAGCAAUCCAAGCGCAAGAGCUCAAAAGAAACACGACAAAUCUCUCUCUCUAAUCACUAAAGCCUUUCGUGGAAUUGGAGAGGAUUUGAUCUCUUUUGGUGUGUCUAGAAUUGAAUGCUAGAGCUCUUGUAGUGGUUAAGAAGUGAAAAACUUGGAUGCAAUGAAUGGUGGGGUGGUUGGGGUAUUUAUAGCCCCAACCACCAAAUGUGGCCGUUGGGAGGCUGUCUGUUCGAUGGCGCACCGGACAGUCCGGUGCACACCGGACAGUCCGGUGCCCCCUGCCACGUCAUCACUGCCGUUGGAUUCUGACCGUUGGAGCUUCUGACUUGUGGGCCCGCCUGGGUGUCCGGUGCACACCGGACAGGUACUGUUUGAUGUCCGGUGUGCCAGCAUGGGCGAUUCUGACUUCUACGCGCGCAGAGCGCGCAUUAAAUGCGCGGUAGAGAGCCGUUGGCGCGGAGACGACCGUUGCUUCUCAGUCGCACCGGACAGUCCGGUGCACACCGGACAGUCCGGUGAAUUAUAGCGGACUAGCCGUUGGCGUUUCCCGAAGCUGGCGAGUUCCUGAGGUCGACCUCUCUUGGCGCAUCGGACACUGUCCGGUGUACACCGGACAGUCCGGUGAAUUAUAGCCGAGUCGCCCUGGAAAUUCCCGAAGGUGGCGAGUUUGAGUCUGAGUCCCCUGGUGCACCGGACAGGUACUGUUCACUGUCCGGUGGCACACCGGACAGUCCGGUGCGCCAGACCAGGGGUGCCUUCGGUUGCCCCUUUGCUCCUUUGUUGAAUCCAAAACUUGGUCUUUUUAUUGGCUGAGUGUGAACCUUUUACACCUGUAUAAUCUACACACUUGGGCAAACUAGUUAGUCCAAUUAUUUGUGUUGGGCAAUUCAACCACCAAAAUUAUUUGGGAACUAGGUGUAAGCCUAAUUCCCUUUUACUAACCUCAUAAGAAAGUUUAAGGAACGCACUGGUCGCACUUACACCAAGGAUAAAAUGAAGAAUAGGUGGGACACCUUAAAGAGAAUGUUCACACAGUGGAAAACUCUUAAUGAAAGGGCUACAGGUCUUGGUCGAGACCCUCAUACUGGUUCAAUCAGUGCUCCAGAUGAGUGGUGGGCUAAGCAAAAUGAAGUAAGUAGACUUUUUUUAAUUUUUUAGAUUAACAAUAGUAAUGGCCAUCUCAAAGUAGGAAAUACCAUGUUGCUGCAGGCAAUGCCAGGGUGUAUUAUGUUCAAAACUGCCCCCUAGAGAAUGAGGACGAGCUAAAGGUUAUGUUUGGACCCAUUGUCUGCACAAAUGAACAACCCUUGUUCCUGGCGUCGAGGAUGCAAAUUCAUCAUCUGAUGAUCAUGUCGAAGCCACUUUAGGUGGGGGUGAAAACAGCACACCUGACCCAUGCUCAAAUGCGACUGGGAAGCGUAAGGUGCGUCAUGAUUCUCCACAACCAAAGAAGAAGAAAGAUACGAGGGAAGAGUACAUGAAACGCCUAGUCGAGGCUUUUGAGUCGCGUUCAAUGACCACUAACAAGUCCAUCACCUCUGCUGAGACCGACCCUGUCCGUGUUGAGGUUAAUGCGCAGUUGCAACAAGUGAUCGAUGAUGGUGCACCUGAAGGCAGCGACCUACAUUUGUUUGCCACUCAUCUGUUGAUUGAGAAAAAGUUUAGAGAUGUAUUUGCAACGCUGAAGACCAAAGAAGGAAGGAACGCUUGGCUGCGCAGUGCUUUCGAGAUACAUGUUAAAAAGUCGACUUAGUGGUGGUCGUCCGACAACAGAGGGUCAUGUUCGCUAUUAUGUUGUUGUUCAUGUUAGUCGUCUCACUGUUAUCAGUCUUGUCGUGUUACAAAAUAAACAUGUCGUACGCAUAAUUUUCCCUUUUGAACAAUUUUGCAAUUAUUCGAGUUGAACAUGUAUUUGAAUAAUCAGAGUUGUAUGUUUCUGAACACGUCAAUCUGUGAACUUUGUGUCACCUAUGGUACAUGAAUGUGUCUUAUAUACUGUGCCUAUACAUGAAUAUGUGACUGCUGUUUGUGUGCAUGCAGAUGGGUGACCCUGCUGCACACACAUAUGAUCAUGACACGGAUGACGGAGAUGCAGAAUUUCUUGUUGCCCUAUAUGCUGUAGACAUUUGGGGCAGGCCUUCCAGUGAGGUUUCUAGAAGAACAAUGGUUGAAACAGGUAUUCAAUGGGUUGAGCGAACUUUGGAGAAUAGUAACGAUUGCUUUGACAUGUUUCGCAUGCGACGUACUGUUUUUAGACGAUUGCAUGAUACUUUGGUCGAAAGUUAUGGUCUUCUUCCAAGCCGUGGUGUCAGUACUAUGGAAGCUCUAGGUAUUUUCUUGUGGGCAUGUGGGAGUCCACAAUCAUUUAGGCAGAUAAGAAAUAAGUUUGGUCACUCAUUGGAAACUAUUAGUCGCAAGUAUAGUGAAGUACUUAAUGCACUACAUAAGAUGUCAGCUGACGUAUUCAAGCCCAAAGACUCAAAUUUCAUAGAGAAUCAUCCUCGUUUGCGAGAGGGGAGAUUUUGGCCCCACUUCAAGGAUUGCAUAGGAGCAAUUGAUGGUACUCACUUUCCAGCGUCUGUACCGGCCUCGGAGCAACCCAAAUAUAUUGGUCGCCACGGUUACGCAUCACAGAAUGUAAUGGCCGUUUGUGACUUCGAUAUGAGGUUCACAUUUGUUGUCACAGGUUGGCCAGAUUCAGUACAUGACACUAGAGUAUUACAAGAUACUUUGAUAACUUAUGCGGACAGGUUCCCCCAUCCACCGGAAGGUAAAUAAGUAUAACUUAUGCGGACAGGUUCCCCCAUCCACCGGAAGGUAAAUAAGUAUGUUGUACUUUUGUAUGAUACGAUAUUCAUUUAUGUCUUAAGUAUUGAACUGUAUAAUUCUGUUUGUGCAGGUAAAUACUAUCUUAUGGAUUCAGGUUAUCCAAAUAGAAAGGGGUACCUUGCACCUUAUAAGGCUCAGAAGUAUCACAUUGCAGAAUGACAAAAUGCGAGGCAACCUAUUAGGAGCAAAGAAGUAUUCAACUAUGCACACUCGUCGCUAUGCAAUGUUAUAGAGCGAUCUUUUGGUGUGCUUAAAAUGAAGUGGAGAAUUCUGUUAAGUCUCCCUUCAUUUUCGCUUAAGAAAAAAUCCAAGAUAAUUAUUGCAUGUAUGACAUUGCAUAACUUCAUUAGAGACAGUGCUCUACACGAUAGAGACUUUGAUGAACUAGGACCUAAUAGCCUUGGUCAUGAUGUAUCUGUAGGUGAGAGUAGUAGUAUCACAUCUGAUGAGUUAGACAUGAGUGCAUUUCGAGAUGCAAUUGCUAAUGCAUUAGUGCCGUAGUUAAAUAUGUAAAUGUAACAGUAGUUAUGUUGUAAUGAACUCCACUAAUUAUAUGUAAUGACCUUUUGUUGGUUCGGUGUUAAUGUGUAUAGUUUCUUCAAACAGAAUCUGCAAUCUGAGAAUCUGUGUAUCCAAACACCUAGAUUCUAACGAACAGCUUUUCCGCACAGCUGGCGAACCAAACACCUAAAUUCUAACCACCAGCUUUUCAGAAAAGCUAUUCAGAAAAAAGCCGAACCAAACACGCCCUACGUGGAGUGGUCUAGGAAGUUGGAAUAGACCCCCACUGUGACUCUAAAGCACAACUACCCCACAAAAAGUACAAGUAGAACAUAUCCAUUUAUCUAAACAACACAUGUAAAUAUGACCUUUAU
rnacentral:lncRNA from 1 species